rnacentral:rRNA from 1 species
GACGAACGCUGGCGGCGUGCUUAACACAUGCAAGUCGAACGGAAAGGCCCUGCUUUUGUGGGGUGCUCGAGUGGCGAACGGGUGAGUAACACGUGAGUAACCUGCCCUUGACUUUGGGAUAACUUCAGGAAACUGGGGCUAAUACCGGAUAGGAGCUCCUGCUGCAUGGUGGGGGUUGGAAAGUUUCGGCGGUUGGGGUUGGACUUGCGGCUUAUCAGCUUGUUGGUGGGGUAGUGGCUUACCAAGGCUUUGACGGGUAGCCGGCCUGAGAGGGUGACCGGCCACAUUGGGACUGAGAUACGGCCCAGACUCCUACGGGAGGCAGCAGUGGGGAAUAUUGCACAAUGGGCGGAAGCCUGAUGCAGCGACGCCGCGUGCUGGAUGACGGCCUUCGGGCUGUAAACCGCUUUCGCCUGUGACGAAGCGUGAGUGACGGUAAUGGGUAAAGAAGCACCGGCUAACUACGUG